rnacentral:rRNA from 1 species
AUACGUAGGGGGCAAGCGUUGUCCGGAAUUAUUGGGCGUAAAGCGCGCGCAGGCGGUCUCCUAAGUCUGAUGUGAAAGCCCACGGCUCAACCGUGGAGGGUCAUUGGAAACUGGGAGACUUGAGUGUAGGGGAGGAAAGCGGAAUUCCACGUGUAGCAGUGAAAUGCGUAGAGAUGUGGAGGAACACCAGUGGCGAAGGCGGCUUUCUGGCCUAUAACUGACGCUGAGGCGCGAAAGCGUGGGGAGCAAACAGGAUUAGAUACCCUGGUAGUCCACGCCGUAAACGAUGAGUGCUAGGUGUUAGGGGUUUUUACACCCUUAGUGCCGUCGUUAACACAUUAAGCACUCCGCCUGGGGAGUACGGCCGCAAGGCUGAA